rnacentral:rRNA from 1 species
CCUACGGGAGGCUGCAGUGAGGAAUAUUGGUCAAUGGACGAGAGUCUGAACCAGCCAAGUAGCGUGAAGGAUGACUGCCCUAUGGGUUGUAAACUUCUUUUAUAUGGGAAUAAAAUGUUCCACGUGUGGGAUUUUGUAUGUACCAUAUGAAUAAGGAUCGGCUAACUCCGUGCCAGCAGCCGCGGUAAUACGGAGGAUCCGAGCGUUAUCCGGAUUUAUUGGGUUUAAAGGGAGCGUAGGUGGAUUGUUAAGUCAGUUGUGAAAGUUUGCGGCUCAACCGUAAAAUUGCAGUUGAAACUGGCAGUCUUGAGUACAGUAGAGGUGGGCGGAAUGCGUGGUGUAGCGGUGAAAUGCUUAGAUAUCACGAAGAACUCCGAUUGCGAAGGCAGUUCACUGGACUGCAACUGACACUGAGGCUCGAAAGUGUGGGUAUCAAACAGGAUUAGAUACCCUAGUUGUC